UGAACAAGGAAGCGCAAUGGAGAUCUACAAAUCAGUUGUUUUUUUAGUGACCACCAUAUGCAUAUUCACAACAUUCUCUGUGCAAGAUGAUAUAACUAAGGGAUUGAGACACCUGGAGGCUGACUGCUGUAAAUCUAAAGCCUACAAUCCUGUGAAUGAGAUUUGCUGUGAUGGUCACCUUCUGACAAGAAACAGCUCUCAAGCGAAGUGCUGUGGCUCAGGUAGAUGAUCCACUUGAAAUCAUAUGAGUGCAGUUAGGCUGUGGAGUUUGGAGUUUAUAAUUUAGCUUUACAAAAUAAAAAAAUAUAACUUUGUAGAAUUUUAUAAACCCUAUAACAAACCACUGUUCAAUUUCUAUUGACAUACUAUAUAUUUAUCAGAAUCAGAUUGAGCUUUAUUGCCAAGUAUGCUUCCACAUACAAGGAAUUUUUCUUGGUGACAGAAGCUUCCAGUGCACAAACAAUACAACAAGACUAUUAUAUUAAAAAUAGAAUAAAAAUAAAAAGUGAAUAGAAAUAUAAGUAUAUAUAGAAAUACACAAGACAAUAUGUAUAUAUAUAUGUGUGUGUGUGUGUGUGUGUGUGUGUGUGUGUGUGUGUGCGUGCGUGCGUGUGUGUGUGUAUGUAUGUAUGUAUGUAUAAUGUGUACAAAUAGAAAUCUGUUAUAUUCAGUGCAAGGGAAUGUAAUGCAGAAGAGUUAGGAUAUGUUAAAUAAUAUAACUGACUAGGCUGUGCACGUACUUAUAGUAUAGUUUUUAACUGUUCAUAAGAUGGAUGAUAUAUUUAUAAACAUAUAUUUGACAUGGUAACAAGAUUUUUGUUAAAUUUUUGUUUGAUAAUCAUACCUUUUGAUUAAGGAUGUUCUUUAAUGACUUUGUUCUCUCUUAUACUAAUUUACAGAAAUGUACCUAAUGACGACUCACUUGUGUUGUGAUGGCACUUUACCCACUCUGCAGAAAAAUAAUUCUUGUUGUGGCAAGAAUUCAUAUAACAAUGAAACCCACUGCUUCUGUAAUGAUGCGGAUCCAGAAAGCGAUCUAGAAGUGAAGCCCAAGUCCGAAAAUGGACAAUGCUGUUCAGGUUUAUGUGUUGACAGCUCUAAGAAAGUAAUCUCUUACAGAGUUGUAGAGAAAACCAACUGACAACAUGGUUAACACGAUCUGAUUUGAUUUGUGUUGCAUCACUGUACUGUUGCUACUCUUUUCAGUUCCUUCUCAAAAGAUACUACUAUCUUUCCCAUUUUAUUUUUUGCUCUUUUUGAUCAGGUGGCCCUUGCCCUGCAACAAGCCGAACGGAUGUGUGAAUCAGCACACUACAAUUCAACAAAUAUCUGUUGCUCAGGGAUACUGUAUAAGAGGCAAUCAAGUCUUACUCAGUGCUGUGGUGAAUAUCUCUACAGUCUAUCAGAUGAGAAGGUGCAAUGCUGCAAUGGAAUCCUUUAAUGCAACUUGCCUGGACAGUCAGAGUGUGUUGGAGGUGUUAUAUAUACUCAAGAUAAGAUGAAGAAGAGUUGUGGCUCUGAAGUCUACGACCACAACAACAAGUUCUUAAAGUGUUGCUCGGGUCAUCUUAACAACAUAUCCCACUUGGACAGGAAAACAGAGUGCUGUGGAAUCCGUUUGCUGAAAGAUAAAACAAAAAACAUUUGCUGUUCCUCUGCAAGCCAUGCCAUGCUUUAUGAAACCAAAGACAACCAUGCAUGCUGUGGGCAAUACUAUUACAACAAAUCCCUGUGGAGCUGCUGCGCUGAACAUCUCAAACCAACACCAUCCAAAACCAGCACUGGACAAAAUGUUUUGCCAGGGAAGACUGACAACUCUUCUCCACUGUACAGACUUAAGCCACUAUUGGAGCUGAUCCCUGACAUAUGCAAUAAAACAGUGCUCUUUGGCAAAGUGGAGAGUGUGGCACUUUACAAUAAUGUGCGUCACAUUGUGUUGGGAGUUUUUAUGACAGCAAAUAAAGUCAUCAAAAAGAGGAUACUUAAUGUGCCGCUAGAUCACUGCAGCUCCCCUGCCCUUGAGAAUGGCAUGACCUACCUUUGGGAGGAAAACGCCCCAACCAAAGAUUUGAAGGAAAUGUCAACUACAAGCCUCUCUCCAUCCCUGUUGUCCCAAAUUUUGACAUUCACUUGGUAUUUACUCUUUGUAAAAAAAAAAUCUCACGGAGGCCUUAAUGCGAAGUGUUGCUUGAACAGAUUACUUGACCAGGUUUGUGAUUUGCUAUAUGAGUAAUCGAACACAUUAGGAAAUCCGCAUAGGUAUUUUAUGUAGCUGAUCAGUGCUUUUCACUUCCUUUGGAUUUGGAUUUUAUCACAAGAAUGGGUUGAUCCUAUUUGAGAUGAUGUAUUAAGCUUGUAUAUUUGAUCAGUAAGGUCAUUUUAAAACUAGCUACUAUUCAAAUGUAACCACAUACCAGGAAAUGUGUUCUAUUUCAUCCAAUGUUUAGUUCCUUAGAAAAUAGUUUUCUACCUAAAUGACAUAUUGCUGUGCAGUGUUAAUGCUUUACAUUGCAAUAUGUACUGCAUGGUCUAAUAUGUUUUUAUCAAGUACUGUAUUUUGAUCUUUCAACAAUCUCAGGUGUGUUUCAAUUUACUAUUCCAUGUUUUGUUUAGUUUUUUUCAAUCCUGCUAUGUAAGCUCAAAGGUGCUUUCAAAAUUGUUGGAUUGUUGAUGAUUUUUGUUAUUUAAAAACCAAAAAUUGCUUCCAUCCUAAUUCGUGAUUUAAAAAAGCAGUUUCUUACAUAUGUUUUAUGAAGAUGAUGCAGUUAUGCAUUCUAGACUUAUUCCAUUGCUUUACUAAUUUAUAGAUUUGCUGUACUUUUGCUGUAUUAUUAACACUGUAUCCUUUGCAAAUACAUUAUCUAUAAACUCUGUAAUAAUCGCAAAGACUCUUUUGUACAAAAUACAAACUAUAUGUAUAAAGUAUAUACAUUUGCAAAGACAAACUUAUCACACAACUUUUAAAUUUGUUGUGCUGCUGACAGUUUGAGUAUGAGCGUUACGGAGUGCAAACAUGGAACCGUUCAGCAAGUAUAUUUCCAUCACUUGCAAAUGUAUAUCAAAUCUGUGUUUUCCAAAUAAAUA